CGCAGUGGCUUUAGUCUCUGACCUGGACAACAAUCCACACAGAUUCUGACUGCUGGGAUCUGGCUGUGCCCAGAUGUGAAGAGGCAAUGCACAGAAAGGAAGAGGGCACAUGUGCAUGCAAGCUUGGGCAGGUGCACAUGGAGCCUGCAAGGAUUCUCCAGGGAGCCACCAUCACCCUGAUAUCCAGCGGGAGCCGGUCUGAGCUACGUGACUCCCAAGCUCUGCUAGCUGGCUCCCCAGGAAAGUAAGAACUCACACAAAUGACUUUUGGGGGUUUGUGGAAGAGCUGAGUCCUCAUCACUUCCUGCGGGCCUUUCUGAGCAUAAUAAGAUCCUCUCUCUUGCAUCAGCCAACCCAGGAGCUGCUGAUAAAUCAUGGCACAAGCUUGAGCCAGAGUUGACUUUAACCAUUGACUGCCCACUGAGCACUCGUCAUGUGCUAAGCAUUAUCUUAUUAAACCCUCACCACAAUCCUGCAAGAAAAAUCAAAAUGUUCUUUUUGAGAGCUUGACUUCCCUGUGGAUGAUUUUCCAAGAGAUCUACCUCCGUCCAUUGACAAGCCAUCCUGCCACAUGCUAGACAUCGGUGUGAAGGAGAAGAACACAGAGACCAUUCCUGGACAAGGAAGCUGUGCAGGAGAAUGGAACAGAGGCCAAGACUGUACUUCAGAGAGAUGGGAGGCCAGGUAAUGGCCACAGUUCUCUAAGAUGUCUUCUCUCUUGGACCUUGCUGGGACUGGAAAAGCACCCAAAGUUUUCCAGCACAGGAAAAAUUGAGACAUUGUGACUGGACCUGGUGGCAGCUGGAACAGUUUACUAGACCCUUGGAUACCAAGAACAGAGGCAUUCACUCUGCAGCAUGCUCAAAGACAGAGUGGGAAGUGUUGUCAGAAAGAGGCAACAAAGCUAUUCCCAAAUCAUCACCUCCAGUGCCCAGGGUUCCCAGAAGGAGAAUGGAUCUCUAGAAGCAGUCUGUGGAGGCCAUGUCUUCUUCACUGAGCUCUUCAAAUAGCAUCACAUGUGUUCUUUUACUGCACUGCACCCAAUGUCUAAAGUCAGUGGCGUUCACUGAUUAAGAACUACUAUUUUUUCAACCCACAGACAAGCGUACCCAGAUGCUUUCUUGACCACACACCCCAAAUUACCUGGUUAUGCAACCCCAGAAUCUGUGCCAGUCUGAGAAAGGACUGUGACUCAGGGCCCAUUUUGCACUGGCAUCUGGGAGCCCAGGAGGCCUCUGUGGAUCAUGGCUCCCCACUUCAUAGUCUAAACAGAAGUGCCCUGUCUGCUGUGUAUUGAAUACAGUUUCCCCAUGCUAAGUCAGUGCUGUUGGCAGUGACUUGGAAAAGCUGUCAUGCAAAUCAAAUGGUGACAAAGAAGAAUGGAGAACGAAUGAAAGCAGAUAGGAUAAAGCCUGUGAGUGACGAGGACAAGAAGAGGCUGCUCCAUCUCCUUCAGAGGGCCAAAUAUAGGUCUCCUCCAUCUUUUUACUGACGAUGGCAAUACCCAGACCCUUCCAAGAGCAGAACCAUGAACAAUACUGGCCAUUAAACAUAGAGGCAGCCCUUGGGCUGUCCCAUUGACCUCACACCUCACUUCUGGAAUCUCCGAUCUCCUCACACAAGCACCGUGUACAGCUAGACAGAUCCACAGCACUGGCUGUGAGAAUGCUGACUGGCACUGGGCUAGUCUCAGAAUUCCCUGAUUUGAUUCAUUCCCCUCUCUGCAAACUUCUAAGUCCAUACGUAAUAUCGACUCCCUAACCCUGUGUGGGCCUUUGUACUGCGGGCUAUCCAUGGAGAUCUUAGAGUCAACACGGCUCUAUCCCC